rnacentral:rRNA from 1 species
AGAGUUUGAUCCUGGCUCAGAACGAACGCUGGCGGCAGGCCUAACACAUGCAAGUCGAGCGAUCGCAGCAAUGCGGGAGCGGCAGACGGGUGAGGAACACGUGGGAACAUACCCUUUGGUUCGGAAUAACUCAGGGAAACUUGAGCUAAUACCGGAUAAGUCGGCAACGAGAAAGAUUCAUCGCCGAAGGAUUGGCCCGCGUCCGAUUAGCUAGUUGGUGAGGUAAUGGCUCACCAAGGCGACGAUCGGUAGCUGGUCUGAGAGGAUGAUCAGCCACAUUGGGACUGAGACACGGCCCAAACUCCUACGGGAGGCAGCAGUGGGGAAUAUUGGACAAUGGGCGCAAGCCUGAUCCAGCCAUGCCGCGUGAGUGAUGACGGCCCUAGGGUUGUAAAGCUCUUUCACCCACGACGAUAAUGACGGUAGUGGGAGAAGAAGCCCCGGCUAACUUCGUGCCAGCAGCCGCGGUAAUACGAAGGGGGCUAGCGUUGUUCGGAUUUACUGGGCGUAAAGCGCACGUAGGCGGAUCU